rnacentral:rRNA from 1 species
GGAUCCAGACUUUGAUCAUGGCUCAGGACGAACGCUGGCGGCGUGCUUAACACAUGCAAGUCGAACGAGAGGAGAAGGAAGCUUGCUUCUUUCAAAUCUAGUGGCAAACGGGUGAGUAACACGUAAACAACCUGCCUUCAGGAUGGGGACAACAGACGGAAACGACUGCUAAUACCGAAUACGUUCCUUAGGUCGCAUGACUUUAGGAAGAAAGGGUGGCCUCUACUUGUAAGCUAUCGCCUGAAGAGGGGUUUGCGUCUGAUUAGGUAGUUGGUGAGGUAACGGCCCACCAAGCCGACGAUCAGUAGCCGGUCUGAGAGGAUGAACGGCCACACUGGAACUGAGACACGGUCCAGACUCCUACAGGAGGCAGCAGUGGGGAAUCUUCCGCAAUGGGCGAAAGCCUGACGGAGCAACGCCGCGUGAGUGAUGACGGCCUUCGGGUUGUAAAGCUCUGUGAUCGGGGACGAACGGUCAGCUGACGAAUACUCUGCUGAAGUGACGGUACCCGAAUAGCAAGCCACGGCUAACUACGUGCCAGCAGCCGCGGUA